rnacentral:rRNA from 1 species
GACGAACCGAGCGAACGUUAUUCGGAAUCACUGGGCUUAAAGGGCGCGUAGGCGGGCCGUCAAGUCGAGGGUGAAAUCCCCCAGCUCAACUGGGGAAGUGCCUCCGAUACUGGCGGCCUCGAGGGGGAUAGGGGCAUGCGGAACUUCCGGUGGAGCGGUGAAAUGCGUAGAUAUCGGGAGGAACACCAGUGGCGAAGGCGACUACCUGGCCCAUUCUUGACGCUGAGGCGCGAAAGCUAGGGGAGCGAACGGG